rfam:Gossypium arboreum cultivar AKA8401 contig_35200_1, whole genome shotgun sequence.
CUGUGAUGAGGACAAUUCUUUAGCAUUUUCUUGAAAUGAUCCCAUGCCUCGUAUAGGGAUUCACCUUCCAAUUAUUUAAAAUUGGAGAUUUUUAGCCUCAACUG